rnacentral:rRNA from 1 species
AAUCAACGCUGGCGGCGUGCCUCAGACAUGCAAGUCGAACGAUUAAAGCUCUCUUCGGAGAGUGCAUAAAGUGGCGCACGGGUGAGUAGCACGUAAGUAAUCUACCCUCGAGUGGGGAAUAACGUUCGGAAACGGACACUAAUACCGCAUAAUGCAGCGGCACCGCAAGGUGACAGUUGUUAAAGAUUUAUCGCUUGAGGAGGAGCUUGCGGCAGAUUAGCUAGUUGGUAAGGUAAUGGCUUACCAAGGCUACGAUCUGUAACCGGUCUUAGAGGACGGUCGGUCACACUGACACUGAAUAACGGGUCAGACUCCUACGGGAGGCAGCAGUCGGGAAUUUUGGGCAAUGGGCGAAAGCCUGACCCAGCAACGCCGCGUGAAGGAUGAAGUAUUUCGGUAUGUAAACUUCGAAAGAAUAGGAAGAAUUAAUGACGGUACUAUUUAUAAGGUCCGGCUAACUACGUGCCAGCCGCCGCGGUAAGAC